AGUGGAUUGAAACAUCACCUAGAAGGUGAAGGUGUAUCGCAAAAUCUUAAUGUACAGUGGAACCUCUACUUACGAACACCUCUAUUUGCGACUUUUUCGGUUAACAAACCUUUUGAUCACAACAAAUAUGCCUCUGAGUGCGAAAAAUGUUUCAGUGUACGAAAGCUUCAUUCAUUCAUUUAUUUUGUGUGCCGCUUGAAGCUUUAGGGCGCUGCCAUUUUGAUGACAUCACAUCCUGUGCAGUACAGCACAUAAAGGGCACGGCCAUCUUGGAGAGGUGCAGCCUCCUACGUCACAUCCGUUUUAUACAGUCCAAUACUCGAUGGCCACUUCUCAGUGCUUCAGCUUGUGUUUCUUUUGUCGCCAUUCACCAAGUGUCUAUUUUACUUACUCAAUAUGGGUUCAAAAAAGUCAAGAAAUCAGCCUGGAAAGAAGGAGAGAUUGUCUGCCUUUCGCAGACAGCAAGUUUCGUGAAUUCACCAAAACAUCACCGUGGACUUCAUUGAGUCGAUCUAGCUGAUUGGAGAGAUACUGUAGCUUCUGCAGCUGAGGAAAAUCCAUUUCAUCAGGAUGCCCAGUCACUGCUUAGCAUCCAUGAGGACAACAACUAUGAUGCCAAGAGGACCCAGAGAGCAGCUGGUGAUUACUGGCUUUCACUGCAUUGGCUGGGGAGUUUUUCAUUAAUAGAUAACGCAUGUUCAAUUAAAAGGUCAGUUCAUCACAGUGACAUGUUGCAUCAUUGCAGCCGGCCCUUGUAGUUGACAUAUAAACUGCACUGAUACAAAGAAAUAGAGAAUACAUUUCUCCAUCAGUAACUCCCUUGGAUCGCUAUUUGGAGCUAAAAGGUUUUGGAAAUUACAAUGGUACCUCAACUUACGAGUGUUUUGAUAUAAGAGCUGUCUCUGAUAAUUGUUCUUCAAGUUGUAAACAAAACCGUGAGAUACAAGCAUCCCUGCCAUUAGCAGGCAUUGCAGAUGCCACAGUGAAUCCUGUAAUAUCCACCCAAAACAUCUGGUCCUCCUCGCUAACAUUAGCUCACUAACUAGGGGUUGGCAUAACUUUGAUUUCCAACCAUGGGAAGGAAGAAAGGGAGUGUGAAGGAGAGUACUGAGAGGAAGUGGAUGACAUUCACUUAGUUUAAUAAAUGAAUCAAAUCUUAUUGAUUUAGUCCUUAAUCACAAGUGCCUUAAAAGGCUUCACAAACUCACAAUGACAUCCCCUGAACUUAAGCCACAUUUGGGCAAGAAAAAAUAGAAGAAACCUUGAGAAGGAAUCGCAGAUAUAGGGACCCCCUUCAAGGGGCAAUGGAUGUUGAGUGGGCACUGAAUACAGGUCUUGAAUUGUUAAAUUAAUAUUGUUCAAUUCCCAUUGGGAAGCCAACAGAUAAUCAUGGGGGGGAAAUGUAUCUUCUUUGAGGGCGGUGUGGCUCGGUUGGUAGAGAGGCCGUGCUAGCAACUUGAGGGUUCAGGUUCGAUUCCCGCUUCCGCCAUCCUAGUCAGUGCGAUUGCAUCCUUGGGCAAGACACUUUACCCACCUGCUCCAGUGCCAUCCACAUUGGUUUAAAUGUAGUUUAAAGAUGUAGAUAAUGAUUUUCACUAUGUAAAGCGCUUUGAGUCAUGGGAGAAAAGCGCUAUAUAAAUAUAAUUCCCUUCACUUCCAGGCUCAUCCAGUCAGCUACCCAGAGAUGGCUAUAGUUGUGCAUGGAAGAGUGGUCCAAAAAGUAGUCCAUCUCGGGCAGAAAAGAGUCAGAUCAACUGGUCUAAAAAAGGGGUCUAUUUAAAAGCUAGAGCAUAUAAAAAUGUGUAAUGGUGGGACUUGAAUGCUUCCACGGAAGUAACAUCCUAAAUGUUGCUGGUAGGGCAUUCCAGAGUACUGAAGCCCAAGUGGAAAACACUCUGGAGCCCCCAGACUUUUUAAGGGUUCUGAGGGUACUAGUAAGGAACAUAGAUUUCGGAACGGAACAUAGGAUGCAAUACAAUCAACAAGAGAAGAUGGAGCUAAACCGUUUAGCAUUUUGUACAUAAGUAAUAAAACCUUAAAAUCCUAAAAAAAAAUCCUUAAAAUCCAAAAUGUGGGGCCAGUUUAGGCGUAAUAUGAUCAAACUAUCUUGUCCUAGUCAAAAGUUUGGCAGCCGCAUGUUGUACUACUUGCAAUGUUUUAAUGCUGUACAUGGGGGGACCCGUAAAUAAUACAUUACAGUAAUCAAAAAGAGACGUAACAAACGCAUGAAUAAUUAUUUUAGCGUCAGUGGUGGACAAAAUGGGACGAACUUUAGCAAUGUUACAAAAAUUUAAAAAAAAAAGGCUCUUUUAGUAACAUUCCUAAUGAACAUCUUAAACCUAAUUUGGGUCAAAUAUAAUGCCAUGAUUUUUUACAAAGUGCCUUUAGAAAAUGGUUUUAUUGUCAAAUUUCAAAGUGGUAUCCUUUGAGAAGUGCCUCUGUCGAACAGGGCCGAUAAUCAAUAUCUUCGUUUUCUUAGCAUGAAGAUGCAAAAAGUUGAGACAAGCCUUUGGAUGACUACAAUCUGGUGUGUAGGUCAGCUGUAGGGGCAUGUAAACUUGGGUGUCAUCAGCAUAACAGUGAAAGCUAAUACCAUGUUUGCAUAUGACAUCGCAGAGCGACAGGGAUACAGGGUCAAGAACCGAUCCUUGUGAGACUUCGCAGGUGACCUUAACUUACUCAGAGGUCAGAUUGUUAUGGGAUACAGUGUGUCCUUUCGAUGAGAUAGGAGCUAAACCAAGAAAAUGCUCAAUCUGACACAAAUACAUGAUUUGAUGUGAUCUAAUAUAAUGUUGUUAUCAGAGGUAUUGAAGGCAGAGCUGAGAUCAAGAAAUAGCAAUAUAGACAAUGUAUCGACAUUCACAGUUGGCAACAAAUCAUUAGUCCUUUUGCAAGGGCCGUCUCAGUCGAUUGAUUUGCCCUGAAACUCGACUGUAACCUGGACACAACCUAUUCUCCCUUCUCCUCUCAGGCAGGAGACUACGGUCCAUCCAGACCCACACCUCCCACCACCUGAACAGUUUUUUCCCCUCCGCCAUCAGACACAUGAUCAAUAACAAUAUCUGAUAGCUCAGUUACAGCUCAUUGUAUUCCCUAUUCUGUGUUAUAUGUGUUUUAUGUUGCACGAUUGCACCAAAAAAAAAUCCUAGUUUGUGAACCCGUUCUCAAACAAUGGCAAUAAAACUAUUCUGAUUCUGAUUCUAAAAGUAAAAAAAUAUUUUUAGACACUAAGAGCCU